UGGCGGCGUGCCUAACACAUGCAAGUCGAGCGAUCUUCUUCGGAAGAGAGCGGCGGACGGGUGAGUAACGCGUGGGUAACCUGCCCUGUACACACGGAUAACAUACCGAAAGGUAUGCUAAUACGGGAUAACAUAAGAAAGUCGCAUGGAUUUCUUAUCAAAGCUUUUGCGGUACAGGAUGGACCCGCGUCUGAUUAGCUAGUUGGUAAGGUAACGGCUUACCAAGGCGACGAUCAGUAGCCGACCUGAGAGGGUGAUCGGCCACAUUGGAACUGAGACACGGUCCAAACUCCUACGGGAGGCAGCAGUGGGGAAUAUUGCACAAUGGGCGAAAGCCUGAUGCAGCAACGCCGCGUGAGCGAUGAAGGCCUUCGGGUCGUAAAGCUCUGUCCUCAAGGAAGAUAAUGACGGUACUUGAGGAGGAAGCCCCGGCUAACUACGUGCCAGCAGCCGCGGUAAUACGUAGGGGGCUAGCGUUAUCCGGAAUUACUGGGCGUAAAGGGUGCGUAGGCGGUCUUUCAAGUCAGAAGUGAAAGGCUACGGCUCAACCGUAGUAAGCUUUUGAAACUGUAAGACUUGAGUGCAGGAGAGGAGAGUGGAAUUCCUAGUGUAGCGGUGAAAUGCGUAGCAUAUUAGGAGGAACACCAGUUGCGAAGGCGGCUCUCUGGACUGUAACUGACGCUGAGGCACGAA
rnacentral:rRNA from 1 species